UCUGCCCUAGGGCAUUGCAGGUGUGGCUGCUCUGUCACCUGCAUCUGUAGGUGACAGAGGAGACAGGCUAGGUCUGUGCUCAGUGUAGACUUCUGUAGACUUUGAAUAAUUUGUAGCCUAACAGU
rnacentral:snoRNA from 1 species